UACGGGGGGGCAAGCGUUGUUCGGAAUUACUGGGCGUAAAGGCUCGUAGGCGGCCAACUAAGUCGGACGUGAAAUCCCCAGGCUCAACCUGGGAACUGCGUCUGAUACUGGAUGGCUUGAAUCCGGGAGAGGGAUGCAGAAUUCCAGGUGUAGCGGUGAAAUGCGUAGAUAUCUGGAGGAAUACCGGUGGCGAAGGCGGCAUCCUGGACCAUUACUGACGCUGAGGCGCGAAAGCUAGGGAG
rnacentral:rRNA from 1 species